rnacentral:rRNA from 1 species
UACGAAGGGGGCUAGCGUUGUUCGGAAUUACUGGGCGUAAAGAGCGCGUAGGCGGCUUGCCAAGUUGGGGGUGAAAUCCCGGAGCUCAACUCCGGAACUGCCUUCAAAACUGGCAAGCUCGAGUCCGGAAGAGGGGCGUGGAAUUCCCAGUGUAGAGGUGAAAUUCGUAGAUAUUGGGAAGAACACCGGUGGCGAAGGCGGCGCCCUGGUCCGGUACUGACGCUGAGGCGCAAAAGCGUGGGGAGCAAACAGG